AGCAGCCGCGGUAAUUCCAGCUCCAAUAGCGUAUAUUAAAGUUGUUGCAGUUAAAAAGCUCGUAGUUGAAUUUCGGAGUUCCACCGUUGGUCGGGCUAUUGUCUGUACUGGCGUGUGGAAUUUCUACCUUCUGGGGAACUAUCAUGUUAUUAAUUUAGCGUGGUAGGAAACCAGGACCUUUACCUUGAAAAAAUUAGAGUGUUCAAAGCAGGCUUAUGUCUGAAUACAUUAGCAUGGAAUAAUAAAAUAGGACGGUGGUCCUGUUUUGUUGGUUUCUGAAUCACCGUAAUGAUUAAUAGGGAUAGUUGGGGGCAUUAGUAUUCAAUUGUCAGAGGUGAAAUUCUUGGAUUUAUUGAGGACUAACUACUGCGAAAGCAUUUGCCAAGGAUGUUUUCAUUAAUCAAGAACGAAAGUUAGGGGAUCGAAGACGAUCAGAUACCGUCGUAGUCUUAACCAUAAACUAUGCCGACUAGGGAUCGGAUGAUGUUAAUUUUUUAAUGUACUCAUUCGGCGCCUUACG
rnacentral:rRNA from 1 species